GGGGGCGCGGGGUGUGAGUGAGCAGCGAUCCUGUGUCCCAGGUAAUGACGCUAUUAGAGCAGCAGGCCUCACACAUCUUCCUCAGUCUACCAGUUGGGUAAAGCAGCGUGGAAUUUCACCGAGGGACCUCAGUGGACACCCGGGACGGAGUAGUGACUAGGAGUCUGCAUCGGAGGACUUUACCCGCUGAUGCCUUGGAGGUCCGAGUCCCUGGAAGAGCCUUCUUGGUCUGCAGAGGGAACAGCAGCAUUGGAAAAGCAGCUGCCACUGAACUAGCCAAGCAAGACCAUUUUUCUAUAUAUUAUGAACUUGUCUGAUCCCAGAAAAUCUGUAAAUUUGCUGAAAAUUUCAAGCAGGAACAUAAACUCUGUGUUCUGGUGAACUUUGUAAAUUGUCUCCAGUAUGCUUGCUUCACUCCAUUGAAGGCAAGAGCUGAUUUCCGUCUGAAUGGCAUGGUUCUGACCGAGCAGUGCACCCAGGUGCACCCUGCCACCGCUGUGUCCUUGGUGCAUCCUGGUUGGGCCGACACUCCAGCUUUGCCAUAUCCUUUAAUGGCUGAGCUGCUGUCUCGAAAUAUCUCAGUAGGGGCCGAGGCUGAUGUGUACCGCGGCAACUCACCUGUCGAUCAGAAACCAGUUCUCACACAUCUGCCUUUUGCUAAAGCAUCCUCUUCACCGGCAAGAGAGAUUCUUGAAAUCCUGCAAGAGCUGACUCAGAGAUUUAAACAGCCCAGGCCAGGGGCAGGUAUCAUGGUACAGCAGGUUAAGCCACUGCUUGCUAUACUAUAUCCAUCCCAUGAGUGCCAGUUUGAAUCCCAGCUGCUAUUCGUCCAAUCCAGCUCCUUGCUAAUGCACCUGGGAAAGCAACAGAAGAUAGUUCAAGUGUUUGGCCCCAGCCACCCACGUGGGAAACCUGGAUGGAGUUCCAGGCUCCUGGAUCGGCCUGGCCCAACCCAGACAGGAGUUCUUCAGGUUCAUUCUCAAGUCCUCUUCUACAUCCCCAGCAGGAACACCGUGUGUGCUGUAGGAUUUAGUACCUUCAUGUCUCAGGUCACAUACAGAUCAAGUAUGAAAGUGUGCAAAGUGUUCUGGUGA